UGAAGAGGCGGUCCGAGUCACAGCUGCACAGCACGAAGAAACAGGGAGAGAGAUCGCUACGCGCACACGCGAGCAGAGCCUCACUCACACACAUACCCCUGCACGCGAACGCGUGAAAGUCCGCUUUCCGCCACCACCACCACCUCGUAAUGCCGCCGAAGAGCACCUUGAAGAAGGCCGACAGCGCUGCCGCGACGGGCAAACGCAAGAAACUGUCCUUUGCCGAGUCAACGGUGAAGGCGGCCGCGGCGGCGAUCCACACCACGAACGUCAACGUGCCGGUGAAGGCAGCAGCGAAGCACGCCUCUCUGGGUGCUGCACCUCGCAGGAAGGGACAGAACGCCAAGAAGACGACAGUGAACACCAGCAGCGCCGCGAAGCAGCGGGCGGCUACAGAUCUGAAGCGUAGCGGGAUCGUGAAAGCCAAGAGGACUGAGGAGGAAGUGGCUGCACCGCCGGCGCCGAGCGACGAGGAAAACUCGAGCGACGAUGAGGAUGACAUGCUGAACGGCGGCGCGGCUGUCGACUCGGACGCGGAUAACCUUAGCGACAUGGCAGACCGCGCUCCAUCGGACGACGAGGACGACGAGCUGGGGGCCGGCAAGCAGGCAUCCUCGUCGGCGUCUCGUCAGCGCGACAGCAACGGCACCGUCGAGCCAUACCGUGCCGUGCGUCUGAGCUUUCUGCCGCCUGAGUUCCAAGAGCCGCAGCUCUACAAGUUUCUUAACCAGUUUGGGGCAACGGUGCUGAACUGCUUCUGUGUGCGCAGCAAGCGCACCCAUCGAUCCCGCGGUAUUGCGUACGUUGAGUUCGACAAGGAGUCCGCCAUACCGCUUGUGGUGGAGGAGUGCAAUGGCAUGGCGCUGGGUGGCAAGGCCGUACGCGCGCGCGCCGUCACGAUGCGGCGCCGCAUGCCGUCGCGCCAGAUGGUCAGCCGCCGCCGCGCGCUCGCCUACGCGUACAAGACACAGGGCGCGCCACUGAAGAAGCACGACGUGCGUCGCAAGGAUCCCGUAGGUCUGCUCAUCAAAGCAGUGCGCACCGAGAAGGACAACAACAACUAUCUCGAGAGUCUCGGCAUCGACUUCAAGACGGACUUCUUCCAGUCUCAGCUGGCCACGCUGCCGCCUGGUCUCCUGAAGAAAAAGCGAUCUCGGUCGAAGAAGUCGGAGAACAACACUGUCGCUGCGGCCGGUAUGGCGAAGGCGUUCAUAAAAACAACUGACAUCGUGACGUCGGCACCCAAGUCCAGCCCGAAGCGGGCGACUCGCAGGGCACCCGCGACGAAGACUAAGUAAGCCACUUUGAGCAGAGAUGGUGCGGCGAAGGGGGUGGUGGGCAGGGGGGCAAACGUGUGCCACCUCGUCACGCCGGCAUAUGCGCAAGCACUUGCCCAACAGUGACGGGGCAGUGCGGGGGGACAGGCUUACCUGCUGCCCCGUGCGUGCGCUGCUCUUUUUUUUUUUGGGGGGGGGGGGGGGAGGGGGUAUGUUUUAAAUCGGGAGAUAAUGACGGAUAACAUCGAUGGUCGGUUCUGUGCGUGCGCCCUCUUAGCGGCUGCGCGCGGCUUGACUAUGGCCCUUACGUGUUGUUUUGCAGCGUCGCUUGUGGAGCAACGUCUAUCGGUCCCUGUCAGGGGAUGUGCACGGAUGGAUGUGGCCGUGGCAGUGCGAGCGCUAAAGCGCCAUAAGCGAAGCAGCACACCACGCAAAGGACAUCAACGACGGUUCCCGUGGCAAUGAUGGCAGCUGCAGCGAUAGAACAGCCACACGCACACACACAAGCGCGUGUGAAGAGAGAAGUGGGAGAGAGCUGCGCUACCUGACGAAGCGGGGGAUACACCCGUGUCCCAGGUUUGUGUGCACGUGUGUUUUUACCAGCCGCAUGCAGACCGCAUUGAUACUUGUGUGUGCUUCCUCUGAAGUGACGCAGCAAGAGGUCAGCCGCGGCCUCAGCAGCUCGCAAACAAGUGAGUCGAACAAGCUGAUCUACGCAUGUAGCUGUUUUGUUUUUCUUUGGGGAGGGGGUUGUUGAGGAAGUCCGUGCAAUCUCGAGUGCUGGUGUCCCCCCUCUCUCUCUCUCCCGUCACGCGCUCCAUCACAUCUCCUCUGCUCAACCUCUGCUGCCCUUCCUCUCAUCCUCCGACACACACGCACGCCUGCGCGUAUGCGCCUCAACAGCUCUUUGCUUUUUCUUUCGAAGUCUCUUGUUUAUAUCCGCUCUGACUGUAAGCACCUCCACAG
rnacentral:misc_RNA from 1 species